UACGGAAGGCAACAGUGGGGAAUAUUGGACAAUGGGCGAAAGCCUGAUCCAGCCAUGCCGCAUGAGUGAAGAAGGCCUUCGGGUUGUAAAGCUCUUUUAGUGAGAAAGAUAAUGACGGUACUCACAGAAGAAGUCCUGGCUAACUCCGUGCCAGCAGCCGCGGUAAUACGGAGAGGGCUAGCGUUAUUCGGAAUUAUUGGGCGUAAAGAGCGCGUAGGCUGAUUAGUAAGUUAAAAGUGAAAUCCCAAAGCUUAACUUUGGAAUUGCUUUUUAAAACUGCUAGUCUAGAGAUUUGAAAGAGGAUAGAGGAAUUCCUAGUGUAGAGGUGAAAUUCGUAAAUAUUAGGAGGAACACCAGUGGCGAAGGCGUCUAUCUGGUUCAAAUCUGACGCUGAGGCGCGAAGGGCGUGGGGAGCAAACAGGGAUUAGAUACC
rnacentral:rRNA from 1 species